GACGAACGCUGGCGGCGUGCUUAACACAUGCAAGUCGAACGGAGUGGCGAACGGGUGAGUAACACGUGGGUGAUCUGCCUUGCACUUCGGGAUAAGCUUGGGAAACUGGGUCUAAUACCGGAUAGUACAAGAUGAGCUCGCGGCCUAUCAGCUUGUUGGUGGGGUAAUGGCCUACCAAGGCGUCGACGGGUAGCCGGCCUGAGAGGGUGUACGGCCACAUUGGGACGGGGAGACGGACCAGAGUCGUACGGGAGGCAGCAGUGGGGAAUAUUGCACAAGGGGGGGAAGCCUGAUGCAGCGACGCAGGGUGGGGGAUGAAGGCCGUCGGGUUGUAAACUCCUUGCGACAGGGACGCGGUACCUGUAUAAGAAGCACCGGCUAACUACGUGCAAGCAGCCGCGGUAAUUC
rnacentral:rRNA from 1 species